UCUAUUACGAGUAGAGGCUCGUUUUUUUCGAAAACAAGAGUUGAAACUGGCGGUACACACAUAUUGCCAACGCUGACUCGUGAACCUGGAAUUGAAGAUUUGGUAGAUGUGCACGUGAUGACGUCAUCAACAUGGCUGACGGGCUCUCGCGUAUGUAUCCCAUUAAAUCAAGUAUAACUUCUCAAAGGCACAGAUGGUUCAUAAAUCAUUGUACUGCAGCACUUUGCCAUCACUGAAAAUGAAUAUGAUCCCGUGGAAUGACUUGGCCGAAAUUUCGGAAAAUUCUGCGCUGCAAUACAAGUACGAAAUGAUUCCUAACAACAAAACUGCAGAACAGAAUCCUAGGAUUCUCUUUGAAUACAUUGUAAGUUAUAUGGGAGCUCACUAAAGUUUUCCUUAUAUAUAAAUUCUGUUCAUAUUACCUCUCCAUUAACAAAAAAUAUUACCUAGGGGAGAGCCAUGGAUCUCUCCCAUGACUUAAUUCCUAAACCUACAAUACCUGUCAAGUCAACGAUGGGUGUAGCAUUUAUUCUCCUGAAACGAGUUGUCUUCGAAGCCCUGCUGUGCACCAUAUCCCAUUAACAAAG